GAUGAAGAACGUAGCGAAAUGCGAUACUUGGUGUGAAUUGCAGAAUCCCGUGAACCAUCGAGUCUUUGAACGCAAGUUGCGCCCGAAGCCAUUAGGCCGAGGGCACGCCUGCCUGGGCGUCACACGUCGUUGCCCCCCCAUCUACUCCUUCGGGAUUGCGGGGGGCGGAUGAUGGCCUCCCGUGCGCCUCGUCGCGCGGUUGGCCUAAAUGCCAAGUCCUCAGCGACGCACGCCACGACAAUCGGUGGUUGCGAAACCUCGGUCGCCUGUCGUGUGCGGUCGUCGCGCAUCGAGGGCUCGAAAAAAUUGCCGGGCUUCGGCUCGACUUUCAACGCGACCCCAGGUCAGGCGGGGUUACCCGCUGAAUUUAAGCAUAUCAAUAAGCGGAGGA
rnacentral:misc_RNA from 1 species